CCUACGGGAGGCAGCAGUGGGGAAUAUUGGGCAAUGGGCGCAAGCCUGACCCAGCAACGCCGCGUGAAGGAAGAAGGCUUUCGGGUUGUAAACUUCUUUUAUUAGGGACGAAACAAAUGACGGUACCUCAUGAAUAAGCCACGGCUAACUACGUGCCAGCAGCCGCGGUAAUACGUAGGUGGCAAGCGUUAUCCGGAUUUACUGGGUGUAAAGGGCGUGUAGGCGGGACUGCAAGUCAGAGGUGAAAAUUAUGGGCUCAACCCAUAAACUGCAUUUGAAACUGGAGUUCGUGAGUGCUGGGUAGGGAGGCGGAAUUCGGGGGGUAGCGGUGAAAUGCGUAGAUAUACGGAAGAACACCAAUGGCGAAGGCAGCCUGCUAAACAGUAACUGACGCUGAGGCUCGAAAGUGUGGGGAGCAAACAGGAUUAGAUACCCGUGUAGUC
rnacentral:rRNA from 1 species